CCCAGAAUCCACCCCUGAAAUCCAUCCCAGAAUCCAUUGCUGGGAUCCAUCCCAGGGAUCCUUCCCAGGAAUCCACCCCUGGAACCCACCCCAGGAUCCACCCCAGGGAUCCACCCCAGGAAUCCACCCCAGGAUCCAUUCCAGGGAUCCAUCCCAGGAAUCCACCCUAGGAUCCACCCCUGGAACCCAUCCCAGGAAUCCACCCCAGGAUCCAUCCCAGGGAUCCAUCCCAGGAAUCCAUCACUGGGAUCCAUCCCAGGAUCCAUUGCUGGGAUCCAUCCCAGGAAUCCACCCCUGGAACCCAUCCCAGGGAUCAAUCCCAGGAAUCCACCCUAGGAAUCCAUCCCAGAAUCCACCCCAGGAUCCAUCGCUGGGAUCCAUCCCAGGGAUCCAUUCCAGGAAUCCAUCCCAGAACCCAUCCCAAAAUUCACCCCAGGAUCCACCCCAGGAUCCAUCCCAGGAAUUCAUCCCAGGGAGAAUCCAUCGCUGGGAUCCACCCCAGGGAUCCACCCCAGGAUCCACCCCAGGAUCCACCCACACCACCCGCCACGGUUGCUAAAAGAAUAAACAACAAAACCACAAACA
rnacentral:lncRNA from 1 species